rnacentral:rRNA from 1 species
UACAGAGGGGGCAAGCGUUGUUCGGAAUUACUGGGCGUAAAGCGCGUGUAGGCGGCUUUGCAAGUCGGGCGUGAAAUCCCAUGGCUCAACCAUGGAAGUGCACUCGAAACUGCAGAGCUAGAGUCCUGGAGAGGAAGGUGGAAUGCUUGGUGUAGAGGUGAAAUUCGUAGAUAUCAAGCGGAACACCGGUGGCGAAGGCGGCCUUCUGGACAGUGACUGACGCUGAGACGCGAAAGCGUGGGGAGCAAACAGG